rnacentral:rRNA from 1 species
UACGUAGGGUGCAAGCGUUAAUCGGAAUUACUGGGCGUAAAGCGUGCGCAGGCGGUUCUAUAAGACAGAUGUGAAAUCCCCGGGCUCAACCUGGGAACUGCAUUUGUGACUGUAGAGCUGGAGUACGGCAGAGGGGAAUGGAAUUCCGCGUGUAGCAGUGAAAUGCGUAGAUAUGCGGAGGAACACCGAUGGCGAAGGCAAUCCCCUGGGCCUGUACUGACGCUCAUGCACGAAAGCGUGGGGAGCAAACAGG